ACUCAAAUGAAUUGACGGGGGCCCGCACAAGCAGCGGAGCGUGCGGUUUAAUUCGAUGGUACGCGAAGAACCUUACCCAGACUUGACAUGCGAGUGGUAGGAACCUGAAAGGGAACCGACCCGCAAGGGAGCUCGUACAGGUGUUGCACGGCUGUCGUCAGCUCGUGUCGUGAGAUGUUGGGUUAAGUCCCGCAACGAGCGCAACCCUCGGGGUCUGUUGUACCUCUCAGACCCGACUGCCGAGAGAAACUCGGAGGAAGGUGGGGAUGACGUCAAGUCAGCGUGGCCUUUAUGUCUGGGGCAACACGCACGCUACAAUCGCCGGUCACAGCGGGUCGCGACAACGCAAGUUGAAGCUAAUCCCUUAAAACCGGCGUCAGUUCAGAUCGGAGGCUGCAACUCGCCUCCGUGAAGUCGGAGUUGCUAGUAACCGCAGGUCAGCACACUGCGGUGAAUAUGUUCCCGGGCCUUGUACACACCGCCCGU
rnacentral:rRNA from 1 species